UCUGUAACUGCCAUUCAGUAACUGUCACCUCAAAGAUGCCAAUCAGCUGCCUCCUGGGACAACUUAGCAAAGCUAUCCAAAAUCCGUGGAACCUUCUUCCCUUUUCUUUUCCCCAAAGUUAUCACGCUGUUGAACAGUUUCCUGUUCCAGGCAUUGUCCACGCAAUGUCAGGUAUACUUAAAGGGGUGCACUGGACAAAGAAGGGAUGGUCAGGAGAAAGGAAACCAGAAUAAGAAGCUCAAACUCACAACCCUUUCACUACCAAGGCAGACUGCUGGUGAGAUAGGUGCUUUGGGACUGGAGGUUUUGUGGUAAGUUGAUGAUAAUUAACUUCUUAAUUCUUCUUAACUUCUUAAAGUUACACAACCUUAGUCUAACUAACAAAACUGGGCAGUAGACCCAGAUAUCCCCCCAAAUACAGAGGAGAACUUCUGAUUGGAGUCACAGACUUUGGGGUGAUAGUUGUCAGG
ensembl:lncRNA LOC103694278 uncharacterized LOC103694278